UACGUAGGUGGCAAGCCGUUGUUCGGAAUUACUGGGCGUAAAGCGCGCGUAGGCGGCUCUUCAAGUCAGGCGUGAAAGCCCCGAGCUUAACUCGGGAACUGCGCUUGAUACUGUCGAGCUAGAGUGUGGAAGGGGCGAUUGGAAUUCCGUGUGUAGCGGUGAAAUGCGUAGAUAGUACGGAGGAACACCAGAGGCGAAGGCGGAUCGCUGGGCCAACACUGACGCUGGAUGUGCGAAAGCUAGGGGAGCAAACGGG
rnacentral:rRNA from 1 species